UCCACUGAGCCACCUUCCCAGCCCUCACUAUUCAUUCUUUAAAAAAAAAUUUGGGGGGGCUGGGAAGGUGGCUCAGUGGU
rfam:Dipodomys ordii contig_2743, whole genome shotgun sequence.